GACACAGGCGGCCAAAGGUCAGCGCUGGGUCCCGGAAGCCUGGGUGAGCAAGUGUGAGUGAGGGCCUGGGCCGGCAGUGAGGGCAGAGCCCCGGGAGCCGCCCUGCACCCUCCACCCUGGAAGCCUGGCCCCCACCCUGCCAGUGUCCCGAAGUGCCUCCGUGGUCUGUGCUGGAGGCAGCUGGGUGGCCCUGGUCAAGAGCGGCUAGGGCAGGAGAGAGACGCAGGACAGAGUAGGACAGGUCAGAGGUCUUGGCUCCACCCCAUCCAUCGGGGACCUCUGGGCAGCAAAGGGGAGAACCAGCCGUAAGCUCCAUGACUGGCUCCUGUCCUGGGAGUUGUGCCCGCCAGACUCUGGGCCUCCAUCCUUUGCACCUCCCAGAGCCCCUGCCCCAGGGGUGUGUGCUGGGACAGGGGGCACCUGCUCCGAGCCCAGGCUGGGGACUGGACCCACGGCGCAAGGCCUGUCGGUUCCGGACAGACUGGAAACCCACUGGCCACACAGACCUCAUCCCUUCCUUGGUCGAGGGGAAGCCACUCAGUCACGGAGGCGGCCCGGGUUCUCCGCAGCGGCGCAGGAGGCGGGCCCCAGGGCGGGGCACAGGACCUGGCGCGCAGGAGGACGCGGACGGGAGGGCGCUGGCCGCAUGGCCCGCCGCGGGCAACGAAGUCACGUUUGUGAAGCGAAACCGCCCGCACGGCCGGCGGGGCCGCAUUUCCCUUGCAAAUGCCAUUCAAAGGCCGUCCGGGCGGCGCACCCUGCUCGCCGCUGCCGCUGCGUUCCUCCGCCGUGACUCCAGGGGAGGGGUCGAAAGGGGCUGCGCGGCAGCCGCCCCCUCCCCACCGAGGACGCCCUCAGGCCGCGGCGGGCUGGAGCGCCCGUGGGGGCGUCGGCCAGCCCCGCGCGGGACUCCAGGCCCGUAUCACGCCCAAGGGAGCCCCCGCCCGAGGGAAGCCCCCGUGUCCCUCGCCGCCCCCAGACCAGGGCGGGGCAGCCGGGGGCGGGGCCUGCGCGGGUUUAAAGCGGGAGGCGCCCGGCGCGGGCACCCCGGCGAGCUGAACGACUGCGAGCAAGCUGAACGCUGCGGCGCCGUCCGGGCAGGGAGCAGAAGUGGGUCCUCGCUGAGUUCUGCACGAUGAACGGCCACGCCUCUCCUCCUCUCGACCUCCUAGUCACUGGCGGCACCAGGCUGACUGCUGUAUCCAAGACCGUGAAGGCCGCGCUGGGAGCUGGCGCCCCGUCUGCACCCCAGGCCAGGAGCAUCGCUGGGGUGUGGGUGGAGGCCUCGGGCCAGGCCCAAGGUCUCUAUGCUGCCAUGAAGCAGGGUCUCCUGCCCUCUGGGCUUGGGCUGGCUCUGCUGGAGGCCCAGGCAGCCACAGGGGGCCUGGUGGACCCCACGCAGGGCCAGCUGCUCCCUGUGUCUGAGGCCCUGCAGCAGGGCCUGGUGGGCCUGGAGCUCAAGGAGAAGCUGCUGGCUGCCGAGCGUGCGGCCACUGGGUACCCUGAUCCCUAUGGGGGCGAGAAGCUGUCCCUCUUUCAGGCCAUCGGGAAGGAGGUGGUAGACAGGGCGCUGGGGUGGAACUGGUUGGAGGCCCAGCUGGCCACUGGGGGCCUGGUGGACCCCAUCUGCGGGGUGCGUGUGGCCCCCGAGCUGGCCUGCCAGCAGGGCCUCCUGGACCAGGAGACAUGGCAUGGGCUGUUGGAACUGGGGCGUGGCUCAAGCGCCCCGGGCUUCCUGGACCCUAACACACUGGAGCAGCUGCCCUACCGG
rnacentral:lncRNA from 1 species